CAGCCGCCGCGGGAACACGGAGGGUGCAAGCGUUGUCCGGAUUUAUUGGGUUUAAAGGGUGCGCAGGCGGGGGGGUCAGUCCGCGGUGAAAGACGAUCGCUCAACGAUUGCAGUGCCGUGGAUACUGCCCUUCUUGAAUCUGGUUGAGGCCGGUGGAACUGACCGUGUAGCGGUGAAAUGCAUAGAUAUGGUCAAGAACUCCAAUUGCGAAGGCAGCCGGCUGGGCCAGCAUUGACGCUCAGGCACGAGAGUGCGGGGAUCAAACAGGAUUAGAUACCCCCGUAGUCCCUGUCUCUUAUAU
rnacentral:rRNA from 1 species